UAGCUCAGAGGUUAAGAGCACUGGCUAUUCUUCCAGAGGUCCUGAGUUCAAUUCUCAG
rnacentral:tRNA from 1 species